GUGGGCGUAGCUCAGUUGGCAGAGCGCUGGGUUGUGGCCCCGGAGGUCGAGGGUUCGAGUCCCUUCGCCCACCCCA
rnacentral:tRNA from 1 species